rnacentral:rRNA from 1 species
GCGAAAACUUUACAAUGCUGGCAACAGCGAUAAGGGAACCUCGAGUGCCAGGUUACAAAUCUGGCUGUCGAGGUGCCUAAAAAGCAUUUCAUAGCAAGGGCCGGGCAAGACCGGUGCCAGCCGCCGCGGUAACACCGGCGGCUCGAGUGGUAACCGUUAUUAUUGGGUCUAAAGGGUCUGUAGCCGGCCGGAUAAGUCUCUUGAGAAAUCUGGCAGCUUAACUGUCAGGCUUUCAGGAGAUACUGUCUGGCUCGAGGCCGGGAUAGGUGAGAGGUACUUCAGGGGUAGGGGUGAAAUCUUGUAAUCCUUGAAGGACCACCAGUGGCGAAGGCGUCUCGCCAGAACGGACCUGACGGCAAGGGACGAAAGCUUGGGGCACGAACC